rnacentral:tRNA from 1 species
GGCCUGGUGGUCUGGAAGUAUAAUGCUCGCUUUGUGUGCGAGAGGUCCUGGGUUCAAUUCCCAGCCAGGCCC